AUCUAAUUCAGUUCUUCAAAAAUUAAAGUUUUUUAACAGAAAACGAAGACAUUUUAGAUAAAUUUCGAAAUAAAAAUGGAAAAAUAAACAUUCCAGCUUUACAUGAACAUCCAUUGAGAGUAUUUGAAACAUUGGAAAAUAUAAUUUUUGAAGGAUUGGAAAGUGCCACUCAUUUGCAUGGAAUGACAAAACCUAUUGCCAUACGUCAUCUGAAAAGGAAUGUUGCAUCUGAAGAUAUAAGGAAAAUGUUCAAGCAUUUGGGUGAAUAUUUAAAAACGGUUUUACAAAAAGUCAUGUCACCAACAUUACAAAAAGCAAUCGAUAAAAUUUGUGAAGUUCUUGUCAUGGAUGACCAAUAAAAUAAUUGCAUCGAGAAAUUUCGAAUAAAAUGAAUUUUGAUUUUUAUUUUCCAGCAUAAUUUUAAACACUCAAUAAUUUCGAAUGUUUUCUGAAUUUCUUGGUAACACUUUUUCCUAAAUAAAACACCCUGUGUUCUAAGAUCAAAUUAAAUGGGAGAGUCGUUUGUGAUUCAUCAAAAGUCAA